rnacentral:lncRNA from 1 species
GGAAGAAAACAGUAGAUUGGCUUCUAGUUCCUUCUGCUAACAAGUGGCUGUGUGAUUUUCAGCAAGUUACUAGACUCUGCUGGACCUCAGCGAGGUGAUUAAACCAAGUGACCUCCGAGGUCCAGUUCCACUGUGACUCUCUAGGACUUUGCACUUUCUUCCUAAACAAACACUGAAGAUUCAUGAGUGAAAUUAACUCCCAGUCAGUUGAAUAAUUGAUCAUUAGCAAAGGUGUAACUGCUGUAAAUAUAGAUGGUUAAGUUAAGGUAAAUAUUAUAACAUAGCUAUGAACGAAUCCUUCCCUGAAUUAGCAGAAACUUGAGUUAAUAAAUAGUUGGCUACAGCAUUUGGGUCAUGAUCUCUGGCUAAAAUAUCCUGGUGUCAGCUGAUUCUGGGCUUUUUAUAUGCUUCUAUUUUUAAACCCAUAAUGGGACUGUACAGUCCUAGUGGGGUAUAUGCCAAAGUGGGGGGUGAGGAAGAAAAAGAAACAUGAUUGUUUCUCUUUAUAAAACUGUAAAGAAAUCUGAAGUGGUUUUCAGUAAAUAUCUUACUUUAUUUUAUAUGCACUUUAUUUCUAGAGCAGUUUCCAGUUCACAGAAGAACUAAGCAGAAAGUACUGAGAGUUCCCAUAAACCAUACCCCUCACUCUGUCCUGGCCUUAAGUACUAUCAACAUCCUGCACCAGAGCAGUACAUUUAUCACAAUCAACAAAACCUACACUGGCUCACUAUAUCACCCGGAGUCCACAGUUUACAUUAAGGCUACCUGGGGUGUAGUACAAUUUAUGGUUUUGGACAAAUGUGUAAUGACAUGUAUCCAUUAUUAUAAUAUCAUAUGGAAUAUGAUAUCUGUGUUCUGCUAUUCAUUCCUGCCCCUCCUGUAACCCCUGGCGACCAGUGAUCCUUUUACCAUUGCCAUAGGUUUGCCUUUUCCAGAAUGUUACAUGGUUGGAAUCAUACAGCAUGUACCUUUUGCAGAUUGGCCUCACUUGGCAAUAUACAAUCAACAUUCUUCCCUGUUUUUAAAAAUUUAUUUGUUCUUUUUAGUUAUACAUGACUAUCUGAUAGAGUAUAUGUGUAUAUUUUGACAUACGUAUACACACAUGGAGUACAUCUUAUUCUAAUUAGGAUCCCAGCCUGGUGGUUGCACAUGAU